GACGAACGCUGGCGGCGUGCUUAACACAUGCAAGUCGAACGGAAAGGCCCAGCUUGCUGGGUGCUCGAGUGGCGAACGGGUGAGUAACACGUGGGUGAUCUGCCCUGGACUUUGGGAUAAGCCUGGGAAACUGGGUCUAAUACCGGAUAUGACCUUCGCCUGCAUGGGUGUUGGUGGAAAGCUUUUGCGGUUCAGGAUGGGCCCGCGGCCUAUCAGCUUGUUGGUGGGGUAAUGGCCUACCAAGGCGACGACGGGUAGCCGACCUGAGAGGGUGAUCGGACACACUAGGACUGAGACACGGCCCAGACUCCUACGGGAGGCAGCAGUGGGGAAUAUUGCACAAUGGGCGCAAGCCUGAUGCAGCGACGCCGCGUGGGGGAUGACGGCCUUCGGGUUGUAAACCGCUUUCACCAGGGGCGAAUUUGACGGUACCUGGAGAAGAAGCACCGGCUAACUACGUGCCAGCCGCCGCCGUAAAAC
rnacentral:rRNA from 1 species